UACAGAGGGUGCGAGCGUUGUCCGGAAUCACUGGGCGUAAAGGGCGCGUAGGCGGUUUCUUAAGCGUGUGGUGAAAGCCCGGGGCUCAACCCCGGGUCGGCCAUGCGAACUGGGAGACUGGAGCUUGUCAGAGGCAGGCGGAAUUCCGGGUGUAGCGGUGGAAUGCGUAGAGAUCCGGAAGAACACCGGUGGCGAAGGCGGCCUGCUGGGACAGUGCUGACGCUGAUGCGCGACAGCGUGGGGAGCAAACAGG
rnacentral:rRNA from 1 species